GUGUGUGUGUGUGUGUGUGUACAUGCAUAUAUAUAGACACACACAAAAUUUUGACAAGUAAAUAAUUUAGCAAUACCAAAAGGCAGUUAGGUUCACGAGGAGCAAACUUGACUCAAUAAAAUUACCAAUGAGAUGACAAGCACUCCAAAAAAUUUAGGAUGUCGAUUAACAUUAUAUAGAUUUAUUGUUGUCAAGGCAUGUUCAAGCAAGAUGCAAGGCGCAUGCCUAGGCACACCUCUACAGAAUUUCAUUGAAAUUUCAACAAAAUUCUCCAAUUAUCUCCUAAAGAUUGACUUCUGUAUAUCUACACACGCAUACACAAAGUUAUACAGGUUAAAGGAAUGUAUACAAGAUCAAAGCUCAUUAGAAAGAAAGAGGCUAAAAUUAUGUUUGUUAACAUAAGACAAAUAUAGUUGACUUUGAAAUGAGAUUAAUUAAUUCCUAAAAUCAUGUUAAUAUAAGUUUUUUUUCCUAUUUUAGAUUUUAUUUGACCUUGACCUAUUUGUUACAAGUUGAUAAAUCUAUUUUUAAAUUUCCAAUUAGCUAGUUGUCAUGAGUUGACUAUCCUUUUUCCAUUUCUUUUGCUUGUCUUAUUUUUCCAAAUUUAAUUACAUUUUUUUGGUUUCUUUUUUUUUUUCUUUGCUAGCCCAUUUUCUCUUUUUUCUUUUUCUAUGUGCCUCUUCUUUUCCAUCUCUUUUCUAGGUGACUUGUUCUUUUAGAUGUUUUCUAUUGCUUUUUGCUCAAUUUUUAUAGAUGAAAAUAUUGCUUAUUAACCUAGCUUGUAUGAGGUGAUGUUAUAUUGUUUAUUUGACCAUAAGCAAUCUAUAAUUAAGGAAGGAAAAGAGGUUAGAUUGACAAUAAUAAACUUAAUUCUUCUGUCACAACAAAGAAGACUAAGUUACUCUUGACAAUAAGCAUUUUCUUAUAGUUUUUUUUCUGGGAAUUACUGCUACUUAGUAGGAAAUUUGGAAUAUGAUUUAAGAGUUUUAAAAUCUUUUAGUUUUAUUUUCAUUUGGAUUUCUAAAACAUUAGUAUUUAGUGCUAGAAUCCUAAAUGAUUUAUGCUAUUAAUAUGAGUUGACCUACAUAGGGUUAGUUAUCUUUCUUUCUUCCUUUUUUUUUCACCUAAUGUCACUCAAGCACACCUGCACAUGUGCCUUGUGCCUUGCACUUGUACCUAGGCUUCAGAACCCCCUUAAUGCACCUUACGCCUUUAAUAACUAGGCAAAAGACCCAUUUUGGCCCUUUAACUUAUAGCUAAUAGUCACAAUAUCCCCAAACAAAAACUUACAAUCAAACAUGCCCCUCAAAUUUUAAUUUCGACUAAACAAGUCCAAAAUUUAAUAGCAUUAGUUAAUGGCGUUUAAAAAAUUAACAAAAUAAGUUAUUAAUUAAUAAAAUAAGUUAUUAACGAAUAAAAUAUUACUUUUACAUUUUAAAUGAUUAAAAUAAUUUUUAAACUUUACAAAAACAAAAAAAAAAAAUCGACAUGAUCUCCAUAAACCCUUCCUUUUCUCACCACCCAAACACAAACCAAAUUUCUGGGCCUCAAUUCAUUAAACCUCAUCUUGGAACUUGGCACAUAGGGGCUGUCUGUUUAAGGGAGAUUCCAUGGACUUCUACAACUUGGAAUUGAGCAGCCCAAAGAUUGUGGCUAUCAAACAAAAUCAGGUGAAUUGGUAGGCAAGUUCAAAGGAUCAAUCAAUUGCCCACAAUUAUUGAGAAAAGCAGAAUUAUCAUUGUUGCCUUUUCAAGAAACAGAGAAUGAAGAUGACAAAGAGGAAGAAGGAGAAGAUGAAGAGGCAGAGGAGGGGAGAAGAUGUUAGAUUGGAAGACAAACCAUUGUUAUGGUGGCUCAGAGUCAAGAUGACAAAGAUUACACUGAGCCACCAGUAGCAUCGUUGUUUGAGCUGACUAAGCUCCGUUCUAGGUCCCCUUAUUGCAGAGUUAAUAGCCACUUGUUCUUGUUUCUGUUUUGACACUGAUUGUGUGGUUAAGGCACCCAACAAGUGUUCAACUGUAGUCUGCUCUUAACAAAGGCGUUGUUCUACACAGUGAUGCAGUGCCUUGGAGCCACAUGUGGUGCUAGUGCGGUGAAAAGAUUUGAAGCACCACUAGAAUUCUUUGUUUGUUGAUGGUGUCUAUAGUGUGAACCUAGGUUACACUAAAUUUCACAACCCAUUUUUGGAAUUGGAGCAUUGGACAAACACUAGGGCCUUGGUAGGUUUAAAGCCACCAACGCCCAUAUUAAGCCUUGAUCGUCUCUUUACAAACCUGAAUAAUACCUCGAAAUUUUUAUUAAAAUGUAAUAAUGCAAAAUGCAACUUUGAACUAAAUAUUCCAGCCCUUAUAACACAAUCUAUUAUGGGGUGGCACAGUACAAACCACAACUUAUUUCAACAUGGAGCCGACGCUCAUUAGUUUUCUUAGGUUAAUUUGAGGAUAUCACAAGGCACAUAAGAAAGAACUACUAAUAAUAAAAAUGUUUACGACAUUGCUUUGAAUUAUUUUCAAGAGCAAAUUACAAAAAAUUAUU
rnacentral:misc_RNA from 1 species